rnacentral:rRNA from 1 species
GGUUUGAUUAUGGCUCAGAUUGAACGCUGGCGGAUGCUUUACACAUGCAAGUCGAACGGCAGCACGGACUUCGGUCUGGUGGCGAGUGGCGAAACGGUGAGUAAUGUAUCGAAACGUGCCUAGUAGCGGGGGAUAACUACGCGAAAGUUGCCAAUACCGCAGCGCCCUUCGGGGGAAAGCGGGGGACCUUCGGGCCUCGCACCAUUAGAGCGGCCGAUAUCGGAUUAGCUAGUUGCGGGGUAACGGCUCACCAAGGCGACGAUCCGUAGCUGGUUUGAGAGGACGACCAGCCACACUGGGACUGAGACACGGCCCAGACUCCCAUGGGAGGCAGUGGGGAAUUUUGGACAAUGGGGAAACUCCUGAUCCAGCCAUCCUGGCGUGUGCGAUGAAGGCCUUCGGGUUGUAAAGCACUUUUGGCAGGAAAGAAACGGUACGGAUAAUAAUUCGUGCAACUGACGGUACCAGGGAGAAUAAGCACCACAACUACGUGCCAGCAGCCGUGGUAAUACGUAGGGGCAAAAGCGUUAACGGAAUUACUGGGCGUAAAAGCGUGCAGGCGGUUCGGAAAGAAAGACGUGAAAUCCCAGAGCUUAACUUUGGAACUGCAUUUUUAACUACCGAGCUAGAGUGUGUCAGAGGGAGUGGAAUUCCGCGUGUAGCAGUGAAAUGCGUAGAUAUGCGGAGGAACAAUCGAUGGCGAAGGCAGCCUCCUGGAUAACACUGACGCUCAUGCACGAAAGCGUGGGAGCAAACAGGAUUAGAUACCCUGGUAGUCCACGCCCUAAACGAUGUCAACUAGCUGUUGGGGCCUUCUGCCUUGGUAGCGCAGCUUAACGUGCGGAAGUUGACCGCCUGGGGAGUACGGUCGCAAGAUUAAAACCCAAAGGAAUUGACGGGGACUCCGCACAAGUGUGGAUAUGGGAUUAAUUCGAUGCAACGCGAAAAACCUUACCUACCCUUGACAUGUCUGGAAUCCCGAAGAGAUUUGGGAGUGCUCGCAAGAGAACCGAACACAGGUGCUGCAUGGCUGUGGUUGCCAGCUCGUGUCGUGAGAUGCUGGGUUAAGUCCUGCAACGAGCGCAACCCUUGUCAAGAAGUUGCUACGAAAGGCACCUCAUCGAGACUGCCGGUGACAAACCGGAGGCGGGGAUGACGUCAAGUCCCUCAUGGCCCUUAUGGGUAGGGCUUCGUUCACGUCAUACAAUGGUCGGGACAGAGGGUCGCUAACCCGCGAGGGGGGAGCCAUCCCAGAAACCUGAUCGUAGUCCGGAUCGCAGUCUGUAACUCGACUGCGGAAGUCGGAAUCGCUAGUAAUCGCGGAUCAGCAUGUCGCGGUGAAUACGUUCCCCGGGUCUUGUACACACUGCCCGUCACACCAUGGGAGUGGGUUUUACCCAGAAGUAGUUAGCCUAACCGUAAGGAGGGCGAUUACCACGGUAGGAUUCAUGCAGAUCAUGAAGUCGUAACAAGGUAA